AGCGGCAGGCCUAACACAUGCAAGUCGAGGGGUAACAUAGAAAAGCUUGCUUUUCUGAUGACGACCGGCGCACGGGUGCGUAACGCGUAUACAAUCUACCUUUUGGAGGGGAAUAGCCCAGAGAAAUUUGGAUUAAUGCCCCAUAGUAUAUAGGAAUCUCCUGAUUUUUAUAUUAAACAUUUAUGGCCAUUAGAUGGGUAUGCGUCCUAUUAGCUAGUUGGUGUGGUAACGGCACACCAAGGCUACGAUAGGUAGGGGUCCUGAGAGGGAGAUCCCCACACUGGUACUGAGACACGGACCAGACUCCUACGGGAGGCAGCAGUGAGGAAUAUUGGACAAUGGGCGAGAGCCUGAUCCAGCCAUGCCGCGUGCAGGAAGACUGCCCUAUGGGUUGUAAACUGCUUUUACAGAGGAAGAACCACCCCCACGUGUGGGGGUUUGACGGUACUCUGCGAAUAAGGAUCGGCUAACUCCGUG
rnacentral:rRNA from 1 species